CCUCACGUGGCCGCCGCCUCCGGGCUGGGGGCUGAGCCCCGCCCGGAGGCGGUCGCGCUAACCGCGGAGAGAGCCGGCGAGAGGCGCGGGGAAGUGGGCGAGCGCCCCCGGGCCCUCGAGCCCGGCGCGCCAUGGCAGGCGCCGGGCGAGUACGCAGCCCCGCGGCCGCCGGCUAGCCGAGUCGGGAGGCCACUGUUGGGUCCCUCCUUCCCUCUGCGCCCCAGGCCUCGGAGCCACCGAGAGGAGGAUGAGUCCCUGGAGCUGGUUCCUGCUGCCGACCCUCCGCCUCCUGCCCGCGAGCGCAGCCCCUCCGCGCGGCGCGCCCGCCUCCGCCAACUGCAAGCUCAAGCCCCAACAAAGUGAGUUGAAUUCCUUCUUGUGGACCAUAAAGCGAGACCCGCCGUCUUACUUCUUUGGCACAACCCAUGUCCCGUACACCCGGGUUUGGCACUUCAUCCCGGACAAUUCCAAGGAGGCUUUUCAGCAGAGCAGCAUUGUGUACUUUGAGCUGGACCUCACGGACCCUUCCACUAUCUCGGCCCUCACCAGCUGUCAGAUGCUGCCACGAGGUGAGAACCUCCAGGACGUGCUCCCCAGGGACAUUUACUGCCGCCUUAAGCGCCACCUUGAGUACGUCAAGCUCAUGAUGCCCUCGUGGAUGACGCCUGACCAGCAUGGUAAGGGUCUCUACGCAGACUACCUGUUUGAUGCCAUCGCGGGCAACUGGGAGCAGAAGAGGCCCGUCUGGGUGAUGCUCAUGGUCAACUCCCUGACCGAAGUGGACAUCAAGUCCCGUGGGGUGCCCGUCUUAGACCUGUACCUUGCCCAGGAGGCUGAGCGGCUGAGGAAACAGACGGGGACAGUGGAGAAGGUGGAAGAGCAGUGCCAUCCGUUGAAUGGGCUGAACUUCUCACAGGUCAUCUUUGCUUUAAACCAGACCAUCCUGCAGCAGGAGAGCCUGCGAGCGGGCAGCCUUCAGAUCCCCUACACAACAAAGGACCUCAUCAAACACUAUAACUGCGGGGACCUCAGCUCCAUCAUCUUCAGCCAUGACAGCUCCCAGGUUCCCAGUUUUAUUAAUGCCACGCUACCACCUCAGGAGCGCGUCACUGCUCAGGAGAUCGACAGCUACUUCUGCCGGGAGCUUAUCUACAAGCGGAACGAGAGAAUGGGGAAGUGGGUGAAGGCCCUUUUGGAGGAGUUCCCUGACAAAGGCUUUUUCUUUGCCUUUGGAGCCAAGAGGAGACCGGAAACCCGCUGUCACAGCCCGCCUCCUCUGCCGUCUUGGCUCCGGAAGCGCCCGCCCCGGAAGCUCAGGCACCGGAAGCUGGGUCUGCCGGGUCCCCACUGUUGCGGCUCCACGUGUCUCUGCCCAGAAGUGCUGACCUGCCGGGCGAGGCAGGACGAAAGUUCCGGAAGAAGCAGAGGCGGCUGCAGCGGAGGCAGCGGCUCCGGCAGUUCAGCGACCUGUGGGUCCGACUGGAGGAGAGGUGAGGUGGCUGGGCCAGCCGCGAGCCCAUCGCCCGGUCAGUCCUCACCCCGGAAGUGCGGGUGGGCAGCAGCCGAGGAAGGCGGGUCACAUUGCUUCAGGGGCGGAAGUUCAAGGCUGUGGUAGGGGUUGAGUGUCCCCACCAUCACGGUGCAGCCUUUCCCGUUCCUCAUGGCCUGGACAGCGGUCUUCUGUCCACUCUGGUGGAGGUGAAUCGAGAUGAAAAGUAAUUGCUUCAAGCCAGGGCCGGGGCCAGGACCCCAUAUUUAUCUUUGUUAACGGAUGGGGCGGGGGGCAUGGGUGGGUCUGUUAAAAGUAGCAUGAGGCUGGAAUAAAGGUUGAGAAGAACUUGAUUUCCCAGCCCUUUCUCCACCGCAGAUCAGGGAGAAGCUCAUAGCUUUCCGAAGCUGGAAGCACCUCUGUAGGAAUGGGCUUGUUCAGCCCCUACGUUUUGCAGGGAGCAUGGUGACCACAGAAUGUGCACUCGCAGAGAUGCCCAGUGGGUGCAUCAGAGGUGGGUAGAGGAGCCAAAGAUGGGGACCCAGCCUGGUUUCUGCUGGAAGAACUACACCAGAGAGGCCUGGGAUCCAGGAUACAGUUCAAUUUAUACCAAACUUUUUGAGUUCUUCCUGUGUGCCCACUGUUGUGUUGGUGCUGUGGCUUUGGGGGUGAACCAGACCGACAUUGGCCCUGCCUUCAUGGAGCUCACAGUCUGGGGAGGAAGCUGGAUUUUGAGUUGAUUAUUCACAAGGGGAGUGUAGGGGGCUGUGGGGAUGUGCGUGUGUGUGUUUGUGUGUUGGACAUUACUACCUAACUUAGGGUGGCGGGUGUCAGGAAGGGCCUCCUGGAGGAAGCGACCUUUUGGUUGCUGCUGAGUAGAAGCCUGACAAAGUGGAGCCCAAUGAACAGAGCUUCUGAGUCUGGAUCAGGAGAUGCAGGCAUCUGAUACCUGCAUAGGUGCUUAAUAAUAAAUGUUGAAUGAAUGUGUAAACAACUGAACAGGGAGGGGAGGGAGUUCCCAGCAAGGGGAACAGUGCAAAAGCCUGAUGUGGAGAGAGUGAUCAUGUUAAAGGAACCAAGAUGAAGUAAUUCUGGCUGGAGCCUGGGAGGUCAGUGGGAAGAGGGGUGAGGUAGGUCUAGAAGGUAAAUUGGAUGGAAUGACUGUGAGAAUCUCAUGCCUGAGAGAAGUAGGGUGCCACUGAAAGGUUUGAGGCAGGCAUCCCGUGUGCAGUAGGGUUUGCAUUUUUAAAUGGACAGAAGCUGGCAGCCAGAUGUGACCUGGAGAGCAGGGACAGAUCCUGUUGGUGUCCAUGUGCCCCAUGGUGCCUGACAUGGGGAGGCUCCUCAACCAUCCUUCACUGAUGGAGGAAUACACUGACCUGUUUAGUACCUUCUCAGUCUGGUCCAUUUCCUUUCAAGGUGGCCAUGCAGGAAUUGGGCACUUUACAUCAGAGCUGAGCUGAAAGGACCAGUGCUGGGAUCCCACAGCUCCAGGUCCCCGUUCUGGCCAGGCGCAUCUCCGCCGAGCUGCGGCUCCCCCGCCCUGGGCAGUCUCCCC